AACGCAGCGAAGGGCGAUACGUAGUGUGAAUUGCAGAAUUCAGUGAAUCAUCGAAUCUUUGAACGCACAUUGCGCCCUUUGGUAUUCCAAAGGGCAUGCCUGUUCGAGCGUCAUUUGUACCCCUCAAGCUUUGCUUGGUGUUGGGCGUCUUUUGUCUCCAGUUCGCUGGAGACUCGCCUUAAAGUCAUUGGCAGCCGGCCUACUGGUUUCGGAGCGCAGCACAAGUCGCGCUCUUCGCCAGCCAAGGUCAGCGUCCAGCAAGUCCUUUUUUCAACCUUUGACCUCAGAUCAGGUAGGGAUACCCGCUGAACUUAA
rnacentral:rRNA from 1 species